AGAGUUUGAUCCUGGCUCAGAGCGAACGCUGGCGGCAGGCCUAACACAUGCAAGUCGAACGGACCCUUCGGGGUUAGUGGCGGACGGGUGAGUAACACGUGGGAACGUGCCUUUAGGUUCGGAAUAGCUCCUGGAAACGGGUGGUAAUGCCGAAUGUGCCCUUCGGGGGAAAGAUUUAUCGCCUUUAGAGCGGCCCGCGUCUGAUUAGCUAGUUGGUGAGGUAAAGGCUCACCAAGGCGACGAUCAGUAGCUGGUCUGAGAGGAUGACCAGCCACAUUGGGACUGAGACACGGCCCAAACUCCUACGGGAGGCAGCAGUGGGGAAUCUUGCGCAAUGGGCGAAAGCCUGACGCAGCCAUGCCGCGUGAAUGAUGAAGGUCUUAGGAUUGUAAAAUUCUUUCACCGGGGACGAUAAUGACGGUACCCGGAGAAGAAGCCCCGGCUAACUUCGUGCCAGCAGCCGCGGUAAUACGAAGGGGGCUAGCGUUGCUCGGAAUUACUGGGCGUAAAGGGAGCGUAGGCGGACAUUUAAGUCAGGGGUGAAAUCCCAGAGCUCAACUCUGGAACUGCCUUUGAUACUGGGUGUCUUGAGUGUGAUAGAGGUAAGUGGAACUCCGAGUGUAGAGGUGAAAUUCGUAGAUAUUCGGAAGAACACCAGUGGCGAAGGCGACUUACUGGAUCAUUACUGACGCUGAGGCUCGAAAGCGUGGGGAGCAAACAGGAUUAGAUACCCUGGUAGUCCACGCCGUAAACGAUGAUUGCUAGUUGUUGGGAUGUUUACAUCUCGGUGACGCAGCUAACGCAUUAAGCAAUCCGCCUGGGGAGUACGGUCGCAAGAUUAAAACUCAAAGGAAUUGACGG
rnacentral:rRNA from 1 species